AUCAGAGACUAGCUGAUUUAGAAAUAGCUGUGUCUUUGUAACAUUACCAUGUCUUAAACCAGACAGAAAGGGCUCCAGGAAACCUGAGGGCUCUAGAUAAUACUCUAGAUAAUGUGAGAGCUGCUUCUCCAUGACCUAUUUGAUAACCUUCUUCACAUAAGGAUGUUUACAGGCUGGGUGGCAACUAAGAUGUUUAGCUGUGCUGAGAUGACAACUUUAUGAGUUGGUGAACUGAAUCUGAGAGAGACCAAGAAAUUUGCCAAAAGAAAUCAGCGGUGAACAAGAAACCAAAGUGAACUUCGCUAGGCCCAGACUAGCACUUUAAUAACUUCUGCCACUGCUUUCUGUCCAACAUCCACUUGAUGGGAUCUAUUCUUUGAUGAAUCUUCUGUUGUUAUUAUAAUCAAAACUCAAAUGUUUUCCCCAUUUACAGUUUCUGUUCUGUAAAGAUCUUCACAAAGUC